rnacentral:lncRNA from 1 species
UUGCCAGUGGAUGGGAGAAUCGCGCAGUAUCCGUUGCAGGAGGUGGAGCAGGAUCGUGGCCGUUUAUCGUGGCUGGUCAGGUAGUAAUGGAGCCGCGUGGGAUCCGUCAUAGGGAGUGGAGCAGUGCUGCGAUCGUUACUGCGGCCUGUCAGGGAGUGGUGGAGCUGCACGGAAUCCACCACAGAAAAUGUAGCAGAAUCGUGGUCGUGAUUGUGGCCUGGGAGUGCUGAUCUGUCGGCUGAAGUUCGGCAN